GAAAAAUCAAGCAACACUCAAGUACAUCUUUAGACAAACCGUCAAGCAUCAAAGAUGAUAUAACUUUUAGAUAUUGACAAUAUGAACUGUAAAGGUUUUGACAAGGAAAUUAAACAAGGAAGAUAUACACCAUAUCCGGAUUAAAGUUAGCAGACAUGAACACCCGGUCAUUUCAAUUAAAUUGAAAUUAAAAAGAGCAGAAUCAAGUCCUUUACAUAAUCAGAACCAAAUAAAUAAUUAUAAACUUGGUCUAUUCAAAUAGGCAAUAAAAU
rnacentral:misc_RNA from 1 species